rnacentral:rRNA from 1 species
CGGCAAUGGAGGAAACUCUGACCGAGCAACGCCGCGUGAACGAUGAAGUAUUUCGGUACGUAAAGUUCUUUUAUUAGGGAAGAAUAAAUGAUGGAAAAAUCAUUCUGACGGUACCUAAUGAAUAAGCCCCGGCUAACUAUGUGCCAGCAGCCGCGGUAAUACAUAGGGGGCAAGCGUUAUCCGGAAUUAUUGGGCGUAAAGGGUGCGUAGGCGGUUAAAUAAGUUUAUGGUCUAAGUGCAAUGCUCAACAUUGUGAUGCUAUAAAAACUGUUUAGCUAGAGUAAGAUAGAGGCAAGUGGAAUUCCAUGUGUAGUGGUAAAAUGCGUAAAUAUAUGGAGGAACACCAGUAGCGAAGGCGGCUUGCUGGGUCUUUACUGACGCUGAGGCACGAAAGCAUGGGGAGCAAACAGGAUUAGAUACCCUGGUAGUCCACGCCGUAAACGAUGAGUACUAAACGUUGGGUAAAACCAGUGUUGAAGUUAACACAUUAAGUACUCCGCCUGAGUAGUACGUACGCAAGUAUGAAACUUAAAGGAAUUGACGGGACUCCGCACAAGCGGUGGAUCAUGUUGUUUAAUUCGAAGGUACCCGAAAAACCUCACCAGGUCUUGACAUGCUUCUGCAAAGCUGUAGAAACACAGUGGAGGUUAUCAGUUGCACAGGUGGUGCAUGGUUGUCGUCAGCUCGUGUCGUGAGAUGUUGGGUUAAGUCCCGCAACGAGCGCAACCCUUAUUGUUAGUUACCAGCACGUAAUGGUGGGGACUUUAGCAAGACUGCCAGUGAUAAAUUGGAGGAAGGUGGGGACGACGUCAAAUCAUCAUGCCCCUUAUGACCUGGGCUACAAACGUGAUACAAUGGCUGUUACAAAGAGUAGCUGAA